AUUGAACGCUGGCGGCAGGCCUAAUACAUGCAAGUCGAACGGUGCCUUCGGACAUAGUGGCGCACGGGUGCGUAACACGUAUGCAACCUACCUUACAUUGGGGGAUAGCCUUUCGAAAGGGAGAUUAAUACCGCAUAAGACAGUAGCUGGGCAUCCAGCAGCUGUUAAAGAUUUAUCGAUGUAAGCUGGGCAUGCGUCCAAUUAGCUAGUUGGUGAGGUAACGGCUCACCAAGGCAAUGAUUGGUAGGGGAACUGAGAGGUCAAUCCCCCACACUGGCACUGAGAUACGGGCCAGACUCCUACGGGAGGCAGCAGUAGGGAAUAUUGGGCAAUGGACGCAAGUCUGACCCAGCCAUGCCGCGUGCAGGAUGAAGGCGUUAUGCGUUGUAAACUGCUUUUAUACAGGAAGAAACGACUCUUGCGAGAGGCAUUGACGGUACUGUAUGAAUAAGCACCGGCUAACUCCGUGCCAGCCGCCGCUGUAAUAC
rnacentral:rRNA from 1 species